GUGACCCGGCUCACUAGCUGAGAGGAGCUCACUGUAGACCUUGGGGCUGGGUCCUGGGAAAAGAAAGGCUGCUACAUUUAUGCCAUGUAAUCAGUUUAGGGUUGACUGUUAAAGAUUUGAAGGAGGCAGGUAUGUGAAAUAAUGGCAUGCCCAAAAUGAGCGAUCUUGCAGAAGAAAUGGAAAUUAAAGGCCAGCUUGCUGCAGUUACCAGAGAAAGUACAGGCUUCAAAAAUACAAUGUGCAAGAGGAAUUUGGAGAAUCCUGGACCUUUCCGAAAAAUAAUGUCAGAUCAAGUGGAUUAGAAGAUCCCUCAUACCCUCUGUUCCCCGUGUGUGUGCAGACACAGGCACAGGCACACUGUUAGCCCAAACAACGAUCAUUACGGCAAGGCAAGUGCCAAAAUCCCACAGGAGUGGGCAGCCUGCAGCCCCUUUGAGCUGGACAAUAGCAGGCGGCUGCAGACGUCCUCCAGGGGUGGUUGAUCAAUGUUAGUGCACAUUUCAUCAUUUCCUGCAGUCAAGAUUUGGCUCGACUUCUGCAGGUGGGUCAGUGUACACAGCAGGCUCGCUGCUCCUGGCGCUGCUCCUCGGCAGGAAAUACCUGCACCCAGCUCUGGCCUCUGGUAACUAACUCUUCAGCAGCUUCUUGUAAAAGCAGCUUGUUUUUUCUUAGGAACUUCCUCACCUGUUUCCCAGAAAAAUGCAUCCUUCAUAUGCCAUUUUCAUUUGGAGUCCAGUAACCCUUGCAGUAACAAUUUCACAGCCGAUGCCUCCAUGGCUGUAUCAAAAGACCAAUACAAAUAUUUUAGUAGCAGCAAUUUUCAAAGCUGUCUUCUGAAGGUCUCUCUUCUGGUUGCUGCUCUUUGCUGACGGGAUGAAACUCUGUUCAUGAUCUCCAUGUUUCCACAAACUUGCAGCUCUGAUGAAGCUCUUUUGAUCGUUGUCUUGUUUUUCUUAGCAUUUUCCUCAGCCUUGGAUCUGGAGCGCGCUCCCCAUAUCCUGCCUUCUGUAGAAGAGCCUGCUGAUUUUAUCCCUCACUCCAGUCCUUGGUGGGGGUUGGAGUGGGGCCUCCAGAUGAUGCCACCACAGGCAGGAUGAGGCACCCAGGGAGCAGUUCCCAGCCCACGCCACCUCUCACAAUACCUGUCUGUCCAUCUGUCUGUUCUAUGUAAUACUCUGGGGUCCAACCCUAAGAAACACUUUGCUGGUGCAUUAAAUUAUUUUACUAAAGUGGGCAGGAAAGACCAGUAUUGGCUGUUCAUGAACUGGCGUUUAUUUUAACAAAAAAUAGCUGUGUGGUUGACCACAUUAGCCCUGGCCUGAUAACUCCUGAGCAUUUGGGAACAUCUGCAGCACCUCACUUGGCUCCAGUUCAUUUUGCUGCAGUCUGAGCUGUUUAGAGACAAUGUAAAGACUUUUUGAUUGCCAAAAAGGUAGUUAAAUAAGCUACAUUUCCUUUCUAAGACCUGUAUUGAUCUUCUAUGUUAUUGUUACUACCAUCCCACAUAUAUUACCUACCAAUUUAUGUUCCGCAAUUGGACACCCCACCCCCAUUUAAAUACAUGUAAAUAAUAGCAAAAAUGUUUAAAAAAAUAAUAGCACUUAUUUCUAAUUGAAAUAACAGUUUCAAACAGGGUUGAUGGUUCUGCUUGUUGCUGAGAUUAUCUGACCAUUCUUUUACUGGAAUAUGCUUCUGUUCUUUUAAAUGUUAUCUGGCUUCAGACUCUUCUCCUGACUUUUUCCAUUAUGAGUAACUGCAGCAGAGUGGCAGUUUUGCACAUCCGUGUGGAAAAACAAUUGGCCUAAAUUAUUUGCCCCAUUUGGGAAUAAAUGAGGAAAAAGAGAACGUUUUCCUGUAGUAAAAUAAUGAAUCAUUUUUCCUGGGAAAAGUUUCUCCUCCCAGUCUCUACUGCGGGGCUUUGCACUCAGCCAGAGGCUGGAAGGGCAAGGAGUACCAGAACACAGUGUGGAGAUCGUCUGCUCUGAGCUGCUGGAGGAGUCCAUGCAGCACUGCUGGAGAACUGGAACUGGAAGGGUGGCCAGAGAACAAAAGAUAACGCUAAUUUAGUUAGGUUGGAGGCCAUAGA